UGACGGUACCUGACUAAGAAGCCCCGGCUAACUACGUGCCAGCAGCCGCGGUAAUACGUAGGGGGCAAGCGUUAUCCGGAUUUACUGGGUGUAAAGGGAGCGUAGACGGCAUGGCAAGUCUGAUGUGAAAGCCCGGGGCUCAACCCCGGGACUGCAUUGGAAACUGUCAAGCUAGAGUGCAGGAGAGGUAAGUGGAAUUCCUAGUGUAGCGGUGAAAUGCGUAGAUAUUAGGAGGAACACCAGUGGCGAAGGCGGCUUACUGGACUGUAACUGACGUUGAGGCUCGAAAGCGUGGGGAGCAAACAGGAUUAGAUACCCUG
rnacentral:rRNA from 1 species